rnacentral:rRNA from 1 species
GACGAACGCUGGCGGCGUGCCUAAUACAUGCCAGUUGAGCGCUGAAGGUUGGUACUUGUACCAACUGGAUGAGCAGCGAACGGGUGAGUAACGCGUGGGGAAUCUGCCUUUGAGCGGGGGACAACAUUUGGAAACGAAUGCUAAUACCGCAUAAAAACUUUAAACACAAGUUUUAAGUUUGAAAGAUGCAAUUGCAUCACUCAAAGAUGAUCCCGCGUUGUAUUAGCUAGUUGGUGAGGUAAAGGCUCACCAAGGCGAUGAUACAUAGCCGACCUGAGAGGGUGAUCGGCCACAUUGGGACUGAGACACGGCCCAAACUCCUACGGGAGGCAGCAGUAGGGAAUCUUCGGCGAUGGACGAAAGUCUGACCGAGCAACGCCGCGUGAGUGAAGAAGGUUUUCGGAUCGUAAAACUCGGUUGGUAGAGAAGAACGUUGGUGAGAGUGGAAAGCUCAUCAAGUGACGGUAACUACCCAGAAAGGGACGGCUAACUACGUG